rnacentral:rRNA from 1 species
GUGACAGCCGCCGCGGUAAUACGGAGUGUGCAAGCGUUACUCGGAAUCACUGGGCAUAAAGCGCGCGUAGGCGGGACGACAAGUCGGCUGUGAAAUCCCUCAGCUUAACUGAGGAGCUGCAGCCGAUACUGUCAUUCUCGAGGACGAAAGGGGAGAGCGGAACUUCUGGUGAAGCGGUGAAAUGCGUAGAUAUCAGAAGGAACGCCGGUGGCGAAAGCGGCUCUCUGGUUCGUAUCUGACGCUGAGGCGCGAAAGCUUGGGUAGCAAACGGGAUUAGAAACCCCGGUAGUCC